rnacentral:SRP_RNA from 14 species
CCACUUCCAUGAGCAGCGCCUUUGCGCCCACGUCCGCUGCAGGACCUGGGCCAGGGGCGAGGCAGAGGGGCAAGAGCAAGGAUGAUGAAGACAUGGAGGUCUCCAUGCUAGCUCAGGCGGAGCAGCCAAAACUCUCACGCGCAGAGUUGAAAAAAAAAUUGCGGGC